rnacentral:rRNA from 1 species
AGGACGAACGCUGGCGGCGUGCCUAACACAUGCAAGUCGAGCGAGGAGAUCCUUCGGGAUGAUCCUAGCGGCGGACGGGUGAGUAACACGUGGGCAACCUGCCUCAUAGAGAGGAAUAGCCUUCCGAAAGGGAGAUUAAUACCUCAUAACAUUGCAGUUUCGCAUGGAACAGCAAUUAAAGGAGUAAUCCGCUAUGAGAUGGGCCCGCGGCGCAUUAGGCUAGUUGGUGAGGUAACGGCUCACCAAGGCGACGAUGCGUAGCCGACCUGAGAGGGUGAUCGGCCACAUUGGGACUGAGACACGGCCCAGACUCCUACGGGAGGCAGCAGUGGGGAAUAUUGCACAAUGGGGGAAACCCUGAUGCAAGCAACGCCGCGUGAGUGAUGACGGCCUUCGGGUUGUAAAGCUCUGUCUUCAGGGACGAUAAUGACGGUACCUGAGGAGGAAGCCACGGCUAACUACGUGCCAGCCGCAGC